GGGGAGGGACGGGCACUGUUCCCCAGAGCAGUGCAAUCAAUGCUGGGAAACUGAAGCUGCGAGUGUCCGAGGGACCCUGGGAUGUCUCUGGGGUCUGCGUAGGUACCCAUGGAGGAGCAGAGAUGGUGGAUGAAGGAGGCCGUGGAGGAGAAAAGAACACAGGAAUUUACCAGAAAUUGGCAGGCUGUGGAAUUGAUGGAGUCCACUUACUGUCCAGGCCUAAGGGGUCCAAUAAUCCCAUCCUUUGCCGAAAGCUUUACUGUGGGACUGGCAUCAUUUCAAGCAUUUAAUCCUCGUCCCAACUCUACGAGGAAGGUACUGUUGUUCCCACUUCACAGGGGAGGUGAUUGAGGCACAGAAGGGUCAACCAAUUCACUCAAGGUCACGCAGCUCCUACACAGUGCAGUUGGGAUUCGAACCUGCAAUGUGGUUCCCAGUGCAGCCCACCAUGACCAUUCCACGUGGCCAAAGCCAGCGCGCCUGGAAUCCGGGAAGGGAGUUCUUUCUAUUGCAGGCCAGAAGUGGGGUACAUCCCACUUGCCUUGAGGGCCCCUAGUGCUUGUCAGGAGGCGACAGACCGAGGUGCUAUCCUCUCUGGGGCAACUGAACUGCCACCAGAAAAAUGACCCAUAAACUCGAGAUGGAGCCCGCUUUCCCUCUGUGGAUUCCACCCUCCAUUACGUCUCUCCCUCAAUUAAUUAAUAAAGCCCCGCGCCUCUCUGCCUGGCUGCUUCCUUCCCUCACUCUACCUCCCCAUCUCCACUGAGAUCCCGGGAAAAAAAUCCCUCCCCAUGGCCCAGCCUGCUAUUGUCUCUCGGUCCCUACAGUUGCUCCUCAUAGGGAGGCUGUUGGAGAGAGAGAGAACACGGAAGGCUCCGGGUGGAUUUGUGCAGCCCUUAAAACGGGGCUCUGCUUCAUCGAAUCUCAGUUUUGUGAAGCUCUCCUGCUGAGCCCGGCCUCUGCUCCAGAUUCAUCCGUAUGGGCAGACCUCCUAAAGACAGGUUCAGUCCAAGGACAGGUUCGAGGUCGAAGAUGGGGUUCAGAGCUCUCUCUGAGGGCCCAUGCUCUCUAGUUUCCUAUUUGCAGGCACACCUUUUAUGAACAGCUUGGUUCUGGGCUAAAAAUGCGUGGGAAAGAGCUGAGGCCCUAAAUUCAGGCAGACCUGGCUUCAAGUGCUAGCCCAACAAUAACUGGCCUGGUGACUUGAACUUCUGUGGGUCUCAUUUUCCUGUCCUGUAAAAUGGGGAUAGUAGCAGAAAUUGUAUAUUUGGAAGUUAAAUGACAGAACAUGCAAAUCUCUUAGCACAGAGCCUGACACAAUGAAAGUAAUUCAUUUUUUUAAAAUAGCUUUUUUUUUUUUUUUGAGACAGGGUCUCGCUUUGUCACCCAGGCUGGAGUGCAAUGGUGCAAUCACAGCAUACUGCAGCCUCAACCUCCCAGGCUCAAGCAAUCCUCCCACCUCAGCUUCGUGAGUAGCAGGGACUACAGGGGUGUGCUAUCAUACCUGUCUAAUUUUUUGUAUUUUUUUUUGUAGAGACAGGGUUUCACCAUGUUUCCCAUGGCUGGUCUUAAACUACUGGUCUCAAGCAGCCCACCCAUCUCAGCAACCCAAAGUGCUGAAAUUACAGGCAUGAACCACUGCGCCCAGCCAAAAAUUAGCUAUUUUAUUGUCAGUAGAAUCGUUAAAAUUAUUUUAUGCCUUUCCAAGAUAGCACGUUACCCUUGGAGAAACAGCACAGAGCAGGAGCUAAGAACACAGACUCUGGAUUCAGUCUUCAUGACUUUAAAUCCUGGUUCUGUCAUUUUUCAGCUCUGUGACCUUAGGCAAGUUAUUCUACCCCUCUGUGUCUCAGUUUCUUGAUCUUGAAAAUGGUAUUAAUAAUAGUACCCACCUCGCAGGCUCUUGUGAGGAUUAAAUGUGAUGAGACAUGUAGAGGGCUUAGAACAGCACACAAUGAAUAUUAGCUAUUAUUAUUUUCCAACAUUCACGAACUUCUCAGUAAAUGAAAACUGUCAUUCUUUCAGUGGUGGGUUUUGAUCAGUGGCAGGCUAGUAGCAACCAGCUGUCCUAAAAAAAUUGUAGGCCAGGCAUAGUGAUACAUGCCUGUAACCCCAGCACUUUGGGAGGCUAAGGUAAGAGGAUCACUUGAGGCCAGGA
ensembl:lncRNA LINC01404 long intergenic non-protein coding RNA 1404